AAAAAACAAAAAUUUGGAUUUUUCAUAAAAAAAAUUCUUUUUGGUUUUUCAAAUACAAAAUGGGAAGUACUAUAAUAAAAGACUCAACAAUCUUAACUAGACUGACAGACUUGAUACUAUUGUACAAGACUAAAAAUUAAAAAAACAUAAAAUAGCCUAAAAAUAAAAAGUUUCCUCCAGCAGCUCGUGCAUGCAAUGGUCUUGACUAGAAUGGUCCUAGGGUAUUUGUCAUGCUCAAACUCUAGCAAAUUGAUCCAUACCUGAAUGGAAAAAAUAAGAUCAAAUAGAGUUAGUGACUCAAGACACAUGUGACGCCAUGACACCUUCUAUUGGACGCAUGCAAGACAUGAUUAAGGCUAUUUUUGUAAAAUGACCUACGUAGCCAAAAUGUGGCUAUUAGCGUAAACUCAACAAAGAUGAUCUCAAAUACAUGGACAUACCUUACUAAGGCUUAUAUGGAUUCGACCUCCCAAUAAUCAUAGCCCAAAAUUAAUUUGCAGAAAUGACUUAUUUUGCAAAAAUGACCGAUAUGGCCCGGAGUGGCUAAAGAUGCAAACUCAAAAAGGAAGGACCAUAAAGUAAUAUGACACCUAGUUGUAGACUAAAAAUCCUAAGACAUGAGUAAUUGAACCACUUUUGCGAAAAUGACCCCAUUUUGCAACAAUGGUCGAUGUGGCCAAAAGUGUCUAGACAUGCAAAUUAAACAGGAAUGGACCUUAAAACUGAGAGUACACCUUGUUGUGGGCUUAGGACUCUAAUACAUGGUUAACAAGCCAUUUUGCGAAAAUAUCCCUAUUUUGCAAAAAUAGCCGAUGUGGCCAAACGUGGCUAGACAUGCAAGAUUUGGCUAAGACCCCGCGAAGCCAAGAACCUAGGACACUAGGAAGACCGGACCCCAUGUGGGUUGCCUACGUAUCCCGACCCGAAAGACGAGAAUCAGGUAUGCGUAGUUCGUAAAAUAUUGGAUAUGGGAGAAAGCUUAAAAAAAAUGCUAACUAGUUUGGAAAAACUAUAUUUUUUGUCUUUUUGAAAAAUGAUGGAAAAGGUAAAAUCUGUUUGGAUUUUUUUUUUUUUGAGUUUUUGAAAAAUGAUGGAAAAGUGUAAAAUCUUUUUGGUAUUUUCUUUUUCUUCUUUUUUUUUUUGGAAAAUGAUGGAAAAGUGUAAAAUCUUUUUGGAUUUUCUUUUUAUUUUUUUAUUUUUUUUGGAAAAUGAUGGGAAAUUAGAAAAUCUUUUUUUGAAUGUUUCAUUUACAAUUUUUUUUUGUCUUUUCUUGAAAAAGUUGUGAAAGAAAAAUAUAGCUAGGCCCUACUUGCUUUAUGUUUCACCUUUCUUUCACAAAUGUUGGUCCGCCAAAUAACCUUUUUACCCUCAAAGAUGCAACAUGGAUCACAUAGGGAUGAUUGAAUGUCUUUUUGGGCCACAGACCCAUUUUGACAAAAUUUGGAUAGGCUUCCUACAAAGGGACACGAUACCUAGGACCGAGCCCUGCUAGGUCUAAAUGACAUGAUGCAAAUAAAAAUGACCUAAAGGCUGACUUAGGUUUGGGGUACACUAACAAGGCAAUUCGGGGGAGCGUAAGGUCGAUGGUGGCUGCUCAAGCUUUCCACCCACUCCAUACGUCCGACGACCCCCCUCCUAAAUUAAGGGUGACUCAACAAAGAGUCCGUGCACGCGACGCGUACUCCGAGACUUGUUGCAGAAAGAAGACCCAUGGUUAUGCAAAUGAUGACCGUUUAUAAAGCAGUAACACAUUAAGAAAAGCGAUAAACAAAUAACGAACAAAAUAAGGAAAUAAGACAAACAAAGCAAAUAAAGAAAACAAACACCUCAACCGAAUAUCCUAGAAGCCAACAACAUCAAGUACCAUCUCGAACCUGCAAAUCCCCAGCAGAGUCGUCAGAUAUGUCAAACUCCUUUUUUCGACCUCACUUAACUCUCUUAAAGUAAUAAAAGAUUUGUAAAGCUUGAAAAGGGUUUUUAAUUAAAAAGUGACAAAAAUUGGUGUUCAAAAGGAUUAACUCAGAGUCGCCAGCUGCCAUUUGAUUUCGGUGUGCCAGGUCAAAAAAAAUUUAAAAAAAAUUAUUUUUCCUUUCAAACCACUUGAGACUCCAAAACUAAGUUUGCACCAGAGAUUUGGGUAAGGGAGUUCAUUUGACUCAGGGAGAAGGUAGUAGGCACUCCCCAAGUCUGUAACUAGUACGGUUGCAUACUUGAUCUAGUCGGCUUCUAAAACAUUCAAAUUGAGAUAAAAUCACGGAAAAGCAAAGUAAACACACACGAGGCUCGAGGUCGUCCCCACCUAAUAAGAGAUAAAAAACGAAAAUAAAAAUAAGAUACUACGAGUUCUACUUUCGGCCUACAAAUACAAAUACUUCGGGGCAUACCCCGAAUAAAAAUAUAUACAAAUCCUUCGGGGCAUUUUCCGGAUAAAUUUAACUAAGGGAACGAUCUCUCGCCUCGAAACUAACAAAAAUCCUAAGGUUUGCUGAUCCAAGUGUGGCUGACCUAAAACAUGUUACUAGUGGAUGAUGGGAAGAAAUAGACGAAAACUAACUAAUAGGAGAAUUCAAUUUAUGCUCAUUUUUUCUUAACAAUUAAUUUCAUUUGUUAGACCGAGCUCAAUCCUAAAGCAUGCAGGUUAGUUAAACGCUAAUGGGCUCGACCUUUACCCAUAUCCCGUGACCCAAUCGUUCAAACAAAAGAUAAUUUUGUAUUAAACUAAUUAGCCAGUGAACUACACACCCAACAAAAUGAACAUCCAAACCAUAGAAAAGAUAGAACCAGAGAAAAGUUAAACUAACAACCAAAUGAGAAAGGCGAGUCAAAACUAUCAUAAAGAGCCAUCAAAAAACAUUUUGUUCCUUUGAUUCUUAGUUUGCCUCUCGACGUGAUGUUUCAAAGCAUGUAAAUCAUGGAUUCUAAUAGCGAUGAUAAACCUUUAAAUAAGCACAUAAAGUCAUUCUUUUACCCAACAUUCCAAAACAAUGAAAGCCUCUCAAAUAUUCAUCCAUGUACAUAAACUAAAGAAGACAAAAAAAAAACACAUCAAACAGAUUAUUUAUCUACCAAAAUUCUUCAAUGUGUCAGAUCAGAUUCAGCACACAAUAAUACUACACCAGCUAUAAUCCAUAAAACAGAAGAUAUGCAUUGCACCAAGAUAGAUCAAUUAACACACACUGUCACUAUGGCUCUUUUGAAGUUUGAUUCAUAGCAAAUAGAACAAACUAAAGAGGGAUUAAUAGAAAUGAACCUGUUAAGUGCUUCUCCUUUAAUAUGUAAAGAAAGUUUCAGCAACAGAUUCAACAAGAUGAAGGCCCGAGGAAAAUACAACCAUAUGAAGCAGGAACCGCGAAUUCAAACCAGGAAACGAUCUCGAACAGAAACUCUAAAUUCGAACACUCACUUCAGCUUGAUUCCAUUUUGAAAACCAAAUCGAAAAAGGAAGAAAUUCCAGAAUAUAUCUUUACUUUUCUGAUUUUUUGUUUUUUUGAAAAUUAAAAGAAAACUUGAAGAAAAACUAAAAUUGAAAAAUGGAAAGAAGAAGAACUCGUUUCUCUGCCUUUCCUCCCCAAUGUUAUCCCCAAAAUUUCGUCCCAAAUUCUUUGUCCAGAAGCUCUCGUGUUUUUUUUUUGUUUCAGGCGAGGUCAGCGGCAGCGACUGGCUAGUUAUGGGUUGAAGAAGGCUGGUGGCGUGCGGCUAUUUCUUGGCGAUUUUGAUAGGUGAAGAAGAUGGGAUCGCAGCUGGAUGUUGGAGAAGGAAAGGGAGUAGCGGCGAAUCCGUUCUCUAGAAAGGGUCCUCCCCGCUAGUCUUGUUCUCUU
rnacentral:lncRNA from 1 species